rnacentral:rRNA from 1 species
UACGGAAGCAGCAGUGGGGAAUAUUGCACAAUGGGCGCAAGCCUGAUGCAGCCAUGCCGCGUGUAUGAAGAAGGCCUUCGGGUUGUAAAGUACUUUCAGUCGUGAGGAAGGUGUUAAGGUUAAUAACCUUAGCAAUUGACGUUAGCGACAGAAGAAGCACCGGCUAACUCCGUGCCAGCAGCCGCGGUAAUACGGAGGGUGCGAGCGUUAAUCGGAAUUACUGGGCGUAAAGGGCACGCAGGCGGUUAAUUAAGUUGGAUGUGAAAUCCCCGGGCUUAACCUGGGAAUGGCAUUCAAGACUGGUUAGCUAGAGUCUUGUAGAGGGGGUUAGAAUUCCAUGUGUAGCGGUGAAAUGCGUAGAGAUGUGGAGGAAUACCGGUGGCGAAGGCGGCCCCUGGACAAAGACUGACGCUCAUGUGCGAAAGCGUGGGGAGCAAACAGGGAUUAGAUACC